rnacentral:pre_miRNA from 1 species
AGCUGGAUAAGGCAAUCCGUUUUGUGGAUUAUGCCAAAAUAAGGACUUAUCCAUAGUG